GCAUCGACCGGCAAAGAGCCGAAGCCUAGGAUGCAAGUAUAGCUGCUUCCACUGUCCACGCCAUGCCUCCACUCCCUUAGGCAUCCACAUCCCAAAUCCGCCGCCGCCGCUGCCCUCUAGGCCAGUCGCCAGCCGCCCUCCGGCAGUCCAGCCUCCGCUCCCCGAACCCCGGCUCCAGCGGUGCCGCCCUCCUUGGCGCGAGCUGCGCCACUCGCCGUCCGCCCGCGCCUGCCUUGGAUCCCGCCCACCGGCACCGAUCCGCGUCAUCGUCGCUCUGUUUCGCCAAUCACCAGCGCACUGCCGUGAUGGAUCACCGUGUUCAUAUGUAGUAGCCGUGAUAGAUCUGUGAUUUAGUUGAAGUGGACAAAUCUUAGAGCUUUUGCAGUCUUGUAUUGCUGAAAAGGAGCGCACCUGAUGUUCUGAUGAAAGUAACAUUACCCCUGAUAAGAUAAGUACUCUAGAACAUGGAAUUCUGAUGACAAUUGUGUUGGUCCUGGACUUUUAAUUCUGUAAGAAAGGUAACACACAGUUGUUACUUCUCUUUUAGAGCAUGAAAACCGUUUUUACCUUGGACCCUGCAUCCAUUGGACAAUAAUAACCUGAACCCAAGAACCAAAAGAAUGACUGGAUAUGAUGUUUUUGUAAUGGUAUUCCCCCCCCCCCCCCCUCUUUUGCUAGUGCCUCAACCCUUUCAACUGAGGCUGAUAGUAACUACCCUUCAAUUGAGAUGCUGAAUGAAUUCACUACUGGGUUUUACUUUGCUGGUUGGGCCAACCUAUGCAUUUUGAGACAAUCAUGCAAUGGUUUCAUUUUUAGUUAUGCUCAGCAGAAUACCAUCUUCUUAGUUCUUGUAGAAUUUUUGUUGUAUGGAGCUAAACGUGCAGCUGGACUAUUGAAGGAACAUUAUGCUCUGCAUUGUAUCUAUAUGAAGAAUGCCCUAUCUUUAAGAAUA